AGUUUGUUACUCUUUGCUGCGGAAAGGGAGAUGUUAAUUCUGUAUUGAGGGGUGGUUCUACUUUGGCUUGAGGGCUAACUGAUGCAUAUCAAGAGGUUUUGGUAGCAGGCAGCUUAUUUUGUUUUGGGCUACUGAUGCAAAUCUGGAGGUCUUGGUAGCAGGCGACUUCUUUUGUUUCAGAGCUACUGAUGCAUAUCAGGAGCUUUUGAUAGCAGGCGACGUGUUUCUGAUUUUUUUUAACCUGGUAACUAUGCAUGAGUAACUCCUUUGUGAGCAUUUUCGAGAGCAAUCUGGUUUGUCUUGUACUAGGGCAAUGUACUGCCAAAAGUUGUUCCUUUCUGAUAUAAUUUUGAUGAUGUCUUGUAUCGGAAUAUAAGUGUACUGGCCUAUUUGAAUGCUAUGGUACAAACUACAAGUGACCACAUUGAUCUAAACAUAUUUACGUGCACUUGUGCCUUUCAUAUCUCAGUGCUGAUGUACUCCUUUUGUAUUCAGAUCAAGGCACCGUAUGCAUGUUUAGCCUAUAAAUUUUUGAAUUAGCCUUGCAGUUUCGAGCAUGUGAA